rnacentral:rRNA from 1 species
GGGGCUAGCGUUGCUCGGAAUUACUGGGCGUAAAGCGCACGUAGGCGGAUUGUUAAGUCGGGGGUGAAAUCCCGGAGCUCAACUCCGGAACUGCCUUCGAUACUGACGAUCUUGAGUCCGGGAGAGGUGAGUGGAACUGCGAGUGUAGAGGUGAAAUUCGUAGAUAUUCGCAAGAACACCAGUGGCGAAGGCGGCUCACUGGCCCGGUACUGACGCUGAGGUGCGAAAGCGUGGGGAGCAAACAGG